GCAGGGAUAGCUCACUUGGUAGAGCACAAGACUCUUAAUCUCAGAGUUGUGGGUUCAAGUCCCACAUUGAGCA